UACGUAGGGGGCAAGCGUUGUCCGGAUUUAUUGGGCGUAAAGAGCGUGUAGGCGGCCAGGUAGGUCAGCUGUGAAAACUCGAGGCUCAACCUCGAGACGCCGGUUGAAACCAUCUGGCUAGAGUCCGGAAGAGGAGAGUGGAAUUCCUGGUUUAGCGGUGAAAUGCGCAGAUAUCAGGAAGAACACCCGUGGCUAAGGCGGCUCUCUAGUACGGUACUGACGCUGAGACGCGAAAGCGUGGGGAGCGAACAGG
rnacentral:rRNA from 1 species